rnacentral:rRNA from 1 species
GACGUAGGGCGCGAGCGUUGUCCGGAUUUAUUGGGCGUAAAGGGCGCGUAGGCGGCCACGCACGUCCGUUGUGAAAUCGCCCGGCUCAACUGGGCGGGGUCAGCGGAUACGGUGUGGCUCGAGCAAGCUAGGGGGCAAUGGAAUUCCCGGUGUAGUGGUGGAAUGCGUAGAUAUCGGGAGGAACACCAGUGGCGAAGGCGGUUGCCUGGAGCUUUGCUGACGCUGAGGCGCGAAAGCGUGGGGAGCGAUCCGG